rnacentral:rRNA from 1 species
CCUGCCCUGAAGUGGGGGAUAACAUUUGGAAACAGAUGCUAAUACCGCAUAGAUCCAAGAACCGCAUGGUUCUUGGCUGAAAGAUGGCGUAAGCUAUCGCUUUUGGAUGGACCCGCGGCGUAUUAGCUAGUUGGUGAGGUAACGGCUCACCAAGGCGAUGAUACGUAGCCGAACUGAGAGGUUGAUCGGCCACAUUGGGACUGAGACACGGCCCAAACUCCUACGGGAGGCAGCAGUAGGGAAUCUUCCACAAUGGACGCAAGUCUGAUGGAGCAACGCCGCGUGAGUGAAGAAGGCUUUCGGGUCGUAAAACUCUGUUGUUGGAGAAGAAUGGUCGGCAGAGUAACUGUUGCCGGCGUGACGGUAUCCAACCAGAAAGCCACGGCUAACUACGUGCCAGCAGCCGCGGUAAUACGUAGGUGGCAAGCGUUAUCCGGAUUUAUUGGGCGUAAAGCGAGCGCAGGCGGUUUUUUAAGUCUGAUGUGAAAGCCCUCGGCUUAACCGAGGAAGCGCAUCGGAAACUGGGAAACUUGAGUGCAGAAGAGGACAGUGGAACUCCAUGUGUAGCGGUGAAAUGCGUAGAUAUAUGGAAGAACACCAGUGGCGAAGGCGGCUGUCUGGUCUGUAACUGACGCUGAGGCUCGAAAGCAUGGGUAGC